GCUACACAUGCAGUCGAGCGGUAACAGAAGUAGCUUGCUNCUUUGCUGACGAGCGGCGGACGGGUGAGUAAUGCUUGGGAACAUGCCUUGAGGUGGGGGACAACAGUUGGAAACGACUGCUAAUACCGCAUAAUGUCUACGGACCAAAGGGGGCUUCGGCUCUCGCCUUUAGAUUGGCCCAAGUGGGAUUAGCUAGUUGGUGAGGUAAUGGCUCACCAAGGCAACGAUCCCUAGCUGGUUUGAGAGGAUGAUCAGCCACACUGGAACUGAGACACGGUCCAGACUCCUACGGGAGGCAGCAGUGGGGAAUAUUGCACAAUGGGCGCAAGCCUGAUGCAGCCAUGCCGCGUGUGUGAAGAAGGCCUUCGGGUUGUAAAGCACUUUCAGUCAGGAGGAAAGGUUAGUAGUUAAUACCUGCUAGCUGUGACGUUACUGACAGAAGAGCACCGGCUAACUCCGUGCCAGCAGCCGCGGUAAUANGGAGGGUGCGAGCGUUAAUCGGAAUUACUG
rnacentral:rRNA from 1 species